rnacentral:misc_RNA from 1 species
GAUGAAGAACGUAGCGAAAUGCGAUAAGUAAUGUGAAUUGCAGAAUUCAGUGAAUCAUCGAAUCUUUGAACGCACAUUGCGCCCGCCAGUAUUCUGGCGGGCAUGCCUGUUCGAGCGUCAUUUCAACCAUCAAGCCCCCGGCUUGUGUUGGGGACCUGCGGCGCGCCCGCAGGCCCUGAAAACCAGUGGCGGGCUCGCUGACCACACCGAGCGUAGUAACAUCUCUGUCUCGCUCAGGGCGUGCGGCGGGUUCCAGCCGUGAAACCCACCUCUCAAGGUACCCAAAGGUUGACCUCGGAUCAGGUAGGAAGACCCGCUGAACUUAAGCAUAUCAAUAAGCGGAGGA